rnacentral:rRNA from 1 species
GAUAAACGCUGGCGGCGUGCCUAAUACAUGCAAGUCGAGCGAACGGACGAGAAGCUUGCUUCUCUGAUGUUAGCGGCGGACGGGUGAGUAACACGUGGAUAACCUACCUAUAAGACUGGGAUAACUUCGGGAAACCGGAGCUAAUACCGGAUAAUAUUUUGAACCGCAUGGUUCAAAAGUGAAAGACGGUCUUGCUGUCACUUAUAGAUGGAUCCGCGCUGCAUUAGCUAGUUGGUAAGGUAACGGCUUACCAAGGCAACGAUGCAUAGCCGACCUGAGAGGGUGAUCGGCCACACUGGAACUGAGACACGGUCCAGACUCCUACGGGAGGCAGCAGUAGGGAAUCUUCCGCAAUGGGCGAAAGCCUGACGGAGCAACGCCGCGUGAGUGAUGAAGGUCUUCGGAUCGUAAAACUCUGUUAUUAGGGAAGGACAUAUGUGUAAGUAACUGUGCACAUCUUGACGGUACCUAAUCAGAAAGCCACGGCUAACUACGUGCCAGCAGCCGCGGUAAUACGUAGGUGGCAAGCGUUAUCCGGAAUUAUUGGGCGUAAAGCGCGCGUAGGCGGUUUUUUAAGUCUGAUGUGAAAGCCCACGGCUCAACCGUGGAGGGUCAUUGGAAACUGGAAAACUUGAGUGCAGAAGAGGAAAGUGGAAUUCCAUGUGUAGCGGUGAAAUGCGCAGAGAUAUGGAGGAACACCAGUGGCGAAGGCGACUUUCUGGUCUGUAACUGACGCUGAUGUGCGAAAGCGUGGGGAUCAAACAGGAUUAGAUACCCUGGUAGUCCACGCCGUAAACGAUGAGUGCUAAGUGUUAGGGGGUUUCCGCCCCUUAGUGCUGCAGCUAACGCAUUAAGCACUCCGCCUGGGGAGUACGACCGCAAGGUUGAAACUCAAAGGAAUUGACGGGGACCCGCACAAGCGGUGGAGCAUGUGGUUUAAUUCGAAGCAACGCGAAGAACCUUACCAAAUCUUGACAUCCUUUGACAACUCUAGAGAUAGAGCCUUCCCCUUCGGGGGACAAAGUGACAGGUGGUGCAUGGUUGUCGUCAGCUCGUGUCGUGAGAUGUUGGGUUAAGUCCCGCAACGAGCGCAACCCUUAAGCUUAGUUGCCAUCAUUAAGUUGGGCACUCUAAGUUGACUGCCGGUGACAAACCGGAGGAAGGUGGGGAUGACGUCAAAUCAUCAUGCCCCUUAUGAUUUGGGCUACACACGUGCUACAAUGGACAAUACAAAGGGCAGCGAAACCGCGAGGUCAAGCAAAUCCCAUAAAGUUGUUCUCAGUUCGGAUUGUAGUCUGCAACUCGACUACAUGAAGCUGGAAUCGCUAGUAAUCGUAGAUCAGCAUGCUACGGUGAAUACGUUCCCGGGUCU